rnacentral:rRNA from 1 species
AGAGUGAACGCUGGCGGUAGGCCUAACACAUGCAAGUCGAACGGCAGCACGGUAAGAGCUUGCUCUUAUGGGUGGCGAGUGGCGGACGGGUGAGGAAUACAUCGGAAUCUACCUUUUGGUGGGGGAUAACGUAGGGAAACUUACGCUAAUACCGCAUACGCCCUUCGGGGGAAAGCCGGGGACCAGCAAUGGCCUGGUGCUGAUAGAUGAGCCGAUGUCGGAUUAGCUAGUUGGUGAGGUAAUGGCUCACCAAGGCGACGAUCCGUAGCUGGUCUGAGAGGAUGAUCAGCCACACUGGAACUGAGACACGGUCCAGACUCCUACGGGAGGCAGCAGUGGGGAAUAUUAGGACAAUGGGCGCAAGCCUGAUCCAGCCAUACCGCGUGGGUGAAGAGGCCGUUGGUUGUAAAGCCCUUUUGUUAGGAAAGAAAGUCGUUCGGUUAAGUACCCGGU